UCUCUCCCAAGUCCCUAAAGCCUGCUCAACGGACCAAUGGUUGAGCCCUGUUGUGCAAAGUUGAGGAACGACAAGCCAAUCAUUGAGCCCUGUUGAGGAGAGCUGAGCAGCGAUCAGCCAAUCAGAGACCUCUGUUGUGGAAUCGUCAUUCGAGACUGAGCUGUGUUAGAAAAAUUCUGGCGGCCAUCUUUUGUUAAUGCAGUCGGCCGUUUGACAGAUUUGACAGACUAAUAUUUUUAUUCUCAGAAAGAAUGGAGAGCCAUGAUAGCUAUGAGUGUGAGGUGUGCAACAAGAGGUUUACUCUGAAGUCCAACCUUACACGCCACAUGAAGCUUCACGACCCUAAACAGCAUGCCUGUGACGUGUGUGGGAAGAGCUUCUCGACCAAGCCCCAGCUUGACCUACAUCUGAAGCAGCACCAGUACCCCCGCAUCCCCAUGUACAGGCAGGGAGAGGCCCGGAUGAUGUGUACGGUAGCUGCCAAGGCUGAGGCAGGCAACCCUAACAAGGAGGUGGACCCGACCUGGCUGGACCCUGUGAAGGCGGAGGCCGCUGCCAAAAAGGCCGGAGGGGAGAUGUGGAGAGGCCAGCUCGUCAUGACCUUUGGCAUGUACGCCGGGCAGACAUUUAGGUGGCUGCUAGAGAAUGAUGCUGGUUGGGCGGCGUGGAUUCUGUCCGAGUUCAUUCACCAGGGCGAGCUGAAUGAGCUGAUGAAGUGGCAGAAGGAGCGCCUGCAGGAGUACGUCAACAUGUUCCCCUCUGUAACGUGUCUCGUUGACAGGAAGCUGAAGGAAAAGACAGGCGCAGCGGUGUCAUCCUUCUCCCAGCAUGGCUCCAAUUAUGCCAGUGAUGCCGAGCUAUUGGCUGUGGCAGAACAACUCCUGGAUGAGUCUCAGGUCCCUGUCUCCACCCACAUCACCACCGUGGGACAACUCACUCCAGCCGCAGCUGCCAGCCAGGAGGAGCCUGCCGUGCCACCAUCGCAGGAGCAGCCCUCCGUCUCCACCGGCAUCCACCUGGAGGGUUGGCAGAGGUACUGGGAGGAACCACCAGCAUCUGCCCAAGCACUUGGCAUCGCCCUACCAAACAUUAAGUGGAUGAAGUGCAACGAGGAAUAUGGCCUGUUUGAGAGGGCAUCCCGGUAUAAUAAUGCCAAAGGCGACAUUGUGGAGAGGAAGUUGCUGAAGGAGAAGAUGGAGUUCCACCCACCCCCACUGCCUGUGUCCGUCAAGGGAGCAGUUCCCAGCAUGCUCUCCUUUUUCACCACGCCUGCCUUCUUCUGGCGCCCCGUCGGUGUGAUGAAGGCCAUGAUUCCCUGCCCCAACACCAACUGCCCUGCGCCGCCUGGGGAAUACCUGGAGAGGAAGGGCUUCGGCAGCUACGCCAGGCAGGUGUGUGGCAUGUCAUCCUACUACACCCUCCUGACGGAGAAGCUGAAGUGCUCCUACUGCGAGAAGGUGAGGCAUGUGUCGGUGGCACGCGACAGUGAGGAGGAGGAGGAGGAAGAUCACCAUCAGCAGCAGUACAUUUGGCUGGCCUACAGUCCAAAAGUUCUGAUGAGCCUCGCCCCUGCUGUUAGACGGAUGUUCCCCGCCAUUCUGUGUGGGAAGCGCGCCAUCGACAGAGGAGUGGUGACUCUGCUGAGCGACCGCCUCAACGCCGUGUCGAUGAGCAAGAUGAAACAUGGAGACGCAUAGACAUCGGUGCAGCGUGUGCGACAAGACUUUCACUGAAAAGUCCAACCUGACGAGGCAUUUGAAGAUCCAUGCCGUCGCCAGGGAGACCUUUGACUGUGAUGUCUGCAGCAAGAGCUUGACCACAAAAUCAUCGCUGGUCAGCCAUCAACAGCAACAUCAUUUUGUACCGGCAAGGAGAGGCCAGGCUGCAGUGUACAGAGGCAGCAAAAUCUGUGGCAGAGGCCCUCAGCACCGUUGUUGACCCUACAAGGCUGAAUCGCAAGACAGCAGAGACGGCUGCCAAGAGAUCCGGGGGUGAGCUGUGGAAAGGUCAGCGGGUCAUCGUGUUCGGAAAGUACGCCGGUCAGACCUUCAGGUGGCUUUUAGAAAACGAUGUCGGCUGGCUGGUGUGGUCUUCCAGUACUGCCAGCAGGGAGAGCAGAACGAGCUGCUGAGGUGGCAGAAGGAGCGGCUGCUCGAGUACACCAGAGAGUUCCCUCUUGUCACAUGGCACCUUGACAGGAGGUUGAAGAAAGCACAAUCGAAGAAAGACCGGGCUCCUCCGACCGUCCACGACCUCUCUCAGCAGGACCCCAACUACGCCAGCAAUGCCGAGUUGUUGGCUGCUGCAGAGAGUGUCCUGGACGAGUCUGAGGCGUCGGUCAGCACGCAGCUGACCACCUGGGGAGACCUCGCCAGCUCUGUGUGCAAGGACGACAGGCCCGGACCCUCGUCCCUCCGAGAGACCUCGAAACCCGGUGGCGUUGUGCUGGAGGGCUAUCAGAAGUUCUGGGAGCAGCCGCCUGAAUCCGCCCAAGCCCUUGGUAUAGCCCCCGCGAACAUCAAGUGGCUGAAGACCAACGAGACCUACGGGCUGUUUGAGAGGGCGUCCAAGUACAAAAAUGUCAGGGGAGAGAUG